UUGGACAAUGGACGCAAGUCUGAUCCAGCCAUGCCGCGUGAAGGAUGAAUGCCCUCGGGGUUGUAAACUUCUUUUAUAGGGGAAGAAAGAUACUUUUUUUAAGGUAGUUGACGGUACCCUAUGAAUAAGCACCGGCUAACUCCGUGCCAGCAGCCGCGGUAAUACGGAGGGUGCAAGCGUUAUCCGGAUUUACUGGGUUUAAAGGGUGCGUAGGCGGGCAUGUAAGUCAGUGGUGAAAUACCCGAGCUUAACUUCGGAACUGCCAUCGAUACUAUAUGUCUUGAAUAUUGUGGAGGUAAGCGGAAUAUGUCAUGUAGCAGUGAAAUGCAUAGAUAUGACAUAGAACACCGAUUGCGGAGGCAGCUUGCUACGCAAAUAUUGACGCUGAGGCACGAAAGCG
rnacentral:rRNA from 1 species